rnacentral:rRNA from 1 species
AUUGAACGCUGGCGGCAUGCCUUACACAUGCAAGUCGAACGGCAGCACGGGUGCUUGCACCUGGUGGCGAGUGGCGAACGGGUGAGUAAUACAUCGGAACGUACCUUAUCGUGGGGGAUAACGCAGCGGAAGCUGUGCUAAUACCGCAUACGCCCUGAGGGGGAAAGCGGGGGAUCGCAAGACCUCGCGCGAUUAGAGCGGCCGAUGCCUGAUUAGCUUGUUGGUGGGGUAAAAGCCCACCAAGGCGACGAUCAGUAGCUGGUCUGAGAGGACGGUCAGCCACACUGGGACUGAGACACGGCCCAGACUCCUACGGGAGGCAGCAGUGGGGAAUUUUGGACAAUGGGGGCAACCCUGAUCCAGCAAUGCCGCGUGAGUGAAGAAGGCCUUCGGGUUGUAAAGCUCUUUUGUCAGGGAAGAAACACCGGCUCUAACACAGUCCGGGAGUGACGGUACCUGAAGAAUAAGCACCGGCUAACUACGUGCCAGCCGCCGCCGUAA